rnacentral:rRNA from 1 species
AGGCUUAACACAUGCAAGUCGAACGCCCCGCAAGGGGAGUGGCAGACGGGUGAGUAACGCGUGGGAAUCUACCCUUUACUACGGAAUAACGCAUGGAAACGUGUGCUAAUACCGUAUGUGUCCUUCGGGAGAAAGAUUUAUCGGUAAAGGAUGAGCCCGCGUUGGAUUAGCUAGUUGGUGGGGUAAAGGCCUACCAAGGCGACGAUCCAUAGCUGGUCUGAGAGGAUGAUCAGCCACAUUGGGACUGAGACACGGCCCAA